GUCUAUGGCCACACCAACCCGACCAAGCCCGAUGCCGUCCGAUGUCGGAAGCUAAGCAGCGUCGGGCCUGGUUAGUACUUGGAUGGGAGACCACCUAGGAAGACCAGGUGCUGUAGGCG
rnacentral:rRNA from 1 species